CUGACAUAAGUAACGAUAAAGCGGGUGAAAAGCCCGCUCGCCGGAAGACCAAGGGUUCCUGUCCAACGUUAAUCGGGGCAGGGUGAGUCGACCCCUAAGGCGAGGCCGAAAGGCGUAGUCGAUGGGAAACAGGUUAAUAUUCCUGUACUUGGUGUUACUGCGAAGGGGGGACGGAGAAGGCUAUGUUGGCCGGGCGACGGUUGUCCCGGUUUAAGCGUGUAGGCUGGUUUUCCAGGCAAAUCCGGAAAAUCAAGGCUGAGGCGUGAUGACGAGGCACUACGGUGCUGAAGCAACAAAUGCCCUGCUUCCAGGAAAAGCCUCUAAGCAUCAGGUAACAUCAAAUCGUACCCCAAACCGACACAGGUGGUCAGGUAGAGAAUACCAAGGCGCUUGAGAGAACUCGGGUGAAGGAACUAGGCAAAAUGGUGCCGUAACUUCGGGAGAAGGCACGCUGAUAUGUAGGUGAAGUCCCUCGCGGAUGGAGCUGAAAUCAGUCGAAGAUACCAGCUGGCUGCAACUGUUUAUUAAAAACACAGCACUGUGCAAACACGAAAGUGGACGUAUACGGUGUGACGCCUGCCCGGUGCCGGAAGGUUAAUUGAUGGGGUCAGCGCAAGCGAAGCUCUUGAUCGAAGCCCCGGUAAACGGCGGCCGUAACUAUAACGGUCCUAAGGUAGCGAAAUUCCUUGUCGGGUAAGUUCCGACCUGCACGAAUGGCGUAAUGAUGGCCAGGCUGUCUCCACCCGAGACUCAGUGAAAUUGAACUCGCUGUGAAGAUGCAGUGUACCCGCGGCAAGACGGAAAGACCCCGUGAACCUUUACUAUAGCUUGACACUGAACAUUGAGCCUUGAUGUGUAGGAUAGGUGGGAGGCUUUGAAGUGUGGACGCCAGUCUGCAUGGAGCCGACCUUGAAAUACCACCCUUUAAUGUUUGAUGUUCUAACGUGGACCCGUGAUCCGGGUUGCGGACAGUGUCUGGUGGGUAGUUUGACUGGGGCGGUCUCCUCCUAAAGAGUAACGGAGGAGCACGAAGGUUGGCUAAUCCUGGUCGGACAUCAGGAGGUUAGUGCAAUGGCAUAAGCCAGCUUGACUGCGAGCGUGACGGCGCGAGCAGGUGCGAAAGCAGGUCAUAGUGAUCCGGUGGUUCUGAAUGGAAGGGCCAUCGCUCAACGGAUAAAAGGUACUCCGGGGAUAACAGGCUGAUACCGCCCAAGAGUUCAUAUCGACGGCGGUGUUUGGCACCUCGAUGUCGGCUCAUCACAUCCUGGGGCUGAAGUAGGUCCCAAGGGUAUGGCUGUUCGCCAUUUAAAGUGGUACGCGAGCUGGGUUUAGAACGUCGUGAGACAGUUCGGUCCCUAUCUGCCGUGGGCGCUGGAGAACUGAGGGGGGCUGCUCCUAGUACGAGAGGACCGGAGUGGACGCAUCACUGGUGUUCGGGUUGUCAUGCCAAUGGCACUGCCCGGUAGCUAAAUGCGGAAGAGAUAAGUGCUGAAAGCAUCUAAGCACGAAACUUGCCCCGAGAUGAGUUCUCCCUGACCCUUUAAGGGUCCUGAAGGAACGUUGAAGACGACGACGUUGAUAGGCCGGGUGUGUAAGCGCAGCGAUGCGUUGAGCUAACCGGUACUAAUGAACCGUGAGGCUUAACCUUACAACGCCGAAGGUGUUU
rnacentral:rRNA from 1 species